GGCGGACGGGUGAGUAACACGUGGGUAACCUACCUAUAAGACUGGGAUAACUUCGGGAAACCGGAGCUAAUACCGGAUAACAUUUAGAACCGCAUGGUUCUAAAGUGAAAGAUGGUUUUGCUAUCACUUAUAGAUGGACCCGCGCCGUAUUAGCUAGUUGGUAAGGUAACGGCUUACCAAGGCGACGAUACGUAGCCGACCUGAGAGGGUGAUCGGCCACACUGGAACUGAGACACGGUCCAGACUCCUACGGGAGGCAGCAGUAGGGAAUCUUCCGCAAUGGGCGAAAGCCUGACGGAGCAACGCCGCGUGAGUGAUGAAGGGUUUCGGCUCGUAAAACUCUGUUAUUAGGGAAGAACAAAUGUGUAAGUAACUGUGCACAUCUUGACGGUACCUAAUCAGAAAGCCACGGCUAACUACGUGCCAGCAGCCGCGGUAAUACGUAGGUGGCAAGCGUUAUCCGGAAUUAUUGGGCGUAAAGCGCGCGUAGGCGGUUUCUUAAGUCUGAUGUGAAAGCCCACGGCUCAACCGUGGAGGGUCAUUGGAAACUGGGAAACUUGAGUGCAGAAGAGGAAAGUGGAAUUCCAUGUGUAGCGGUGAAAUGCGCAGAGAUAUGGAGGAACACCAGUGGCGAAGGCGACUUUCUGGUCUGUAACUGACGCUGAUGUGCGAAAGCGUGGGGAUCAAACAGGAUUAGAUACCCUGGUAGUCCACGCCGUAAACGAUGAGUGCUAAGUGUUAGGGGGUUU
rnacentral:rRNA from 1 species